rnacentral:rRNA from 1 species
AUUGAACGCUGGCGGCGUGCCUAACACAUGCAAGUCGAGCGGGGAGAGAUUUUCGGAUUUCUCUUUAGCGGCGGACGGGUGAGUAACACGUGGGUAACCUGCCUCAAAGAGGGGGAUAGCCUUCCGAAAGGAAGAUUAAUACCGCAUAAUAUCAGGAAGCUGCAUGGCAUUCUGAUUAAAGGAGCAAUCCGCUUUGAGAUGGACCCGCGGCGCAUUAGCUAGUUGGUGAGGUAACGGCCCACCAAGGCGACGAUGCGUAGCCGACCUGAGAGGGUGAUCGGCCACAUUGGAACUGAGACACGGUCCAGACUCCUACGGGAGGGAGCAGUGGGGAAUAUUGCAAAAUGGGGGAAACCCUGAUGCAGCAACGCCGCGUGAGUGAUGAAGGCCUUCGGGUCGUAAAGCUCUUUGAUCAGGGACGAUAAUGACGGUACCUGAAAAACAAGCCACGGCUAACUACGUGCCAGCCGCCGCCGUAAGAC